rfam:Bacillus koreensis strain DSM 16467 scaffold1, whole genome shotgun sequence.
UGGUGAUGUCUCCUUACCGUUAUCAAUAGGGGGCACUCGGCCGUGCUGUGGGUUUAAUAGUACCUUAGACGCUUGUCGUCAGGAGCACGGUGUGAGGCUGGGUUGGAUGCCCA